UGCGUAGGCGGUCUAAUAAGUCAGUGGUGAAAUCUCUCGGCUCAACCGGGAAACUGCCAUUGAUACUGUUAGUCUUGAGUUCGGUUGAGGUAGGCGGAAUGUGUAAUGUAGCGGUGAAAUGCUUAGAUAUUACACAGAACACCAAUUGCGUAGGCAGCUUACUAGACCGACACUGACGCUGAGGCACGAAAGCGUGGGUAGCGAACAGGAUUAGAUACCCUGGUAGUCC
rnacentral:rRNA from 1 species